rnacentral:rRNA from 1 species
CCUUUCCAUCUGGAAGAAUCUGGAGACAGGUGCUGCAUGGCUGUCGUCAGCUCGUGUCGUGAGAUGUUGGGUUAAGUCCCGCAACGAGCGCAACCCUUGCCUUUAGUUGCCAGCAGUUCGGCUGGGCACUCUAAAGGGAACUGCCGGUGUUAAACCGGAAGGAAGGUGGGGAGUGACGUCAAGUCCUCAUGGCCUUUAUGACCAGGGCUACACACGUACUACAAUGGCCGAUACAAAGGGCAGCGACACUGCGAGGUGAAGCCAAUCCCGUAAAAUCGGUCUCAGUCCGGAUUGGAGUCUGCAACUCGACUCCAUGAAGUUGGAAUCGCUAGUAAUCGUGGAUCAGCAUGCCACGGUGAAUACGUUCCCGGGCCUU